rnacentral:rRNA from 1 species
UCGCACGGCAGCACGGGGGCAACCCUGGUGGCGAGUGGCGAACGGGUGAGUAAUGCAUCGGAACGUGUCUUCGAGUGGGGGAUAACGCACCGAAAGGUGUGCUAAUACCGCAUAAUCUCUACGGAGAAAAGCAGGGGAUCGCAAGACCUUGCGCUCUUGGAGCGGCCGAUGUCUGAUUAGCUAGUUGGUGAGGUAAAGGCUUACCAAGGCGACGAUCAGUAGCUGGUCUGAGAGGACGACCAGCCACACUGGGACUGAGACACGGCCCAGACUCCUACGGGAGGCAGCAGUGGGGAAUUUUGGACAAUGGGGGAAACCCUGAUCCAGCCAUGCCGCGUGAGUGAAGAGGGCCUUCGGGUUGUAAAGCUCUUUCAGCCGGAACGAAACGGUCACGGCUAAUACCUGUGACUACUGACGGUACCGGAAGAAGAAGCACCGGCUAACUACGUGCCAGCAGCCGCGGUAAUACGUAGGGUGCAAGCGUUAAUCGGAAUUACUGGCGUAAAGCGUGCGCAGCGGUUUUGUAAGUCAGAUGUGAAAUCCCCGGCUUAACCUGGGGAACUGCGUUUGAAACUACAGGCUAGAGUGUG